UCCGUAGGUGAACCUGCGGAUGGACCAUCU
rnacentral:rRNA from 2 species